rnacentral:sRNA from 1 species
AGGAUCACCGUUCGAGGAAGGGUAAGAACCUUCGACAAGGUUCGAGUCUCACGCAGUGAGACAACGCGCUUUAGCGCGGCCCGAAGGGUGAGGAGCGAAGUGACGAAUAAUCCUUCCCCCACCACCA